rnacentral:rRNA from 1 species
UACAGAGGUCUCAAGCGUUGUUCGGAUUCAUUGGGCGUAAAGGGUGCGUAGGCGGCGCGGUAAGUCGGGUGUGAAAUCUUGGAGCUUAACUCCGAAACUGCAUUCGAUACUGCCGUGCUUGAGGACUGGAGAGGAGACUGGAAUUUACGGUGUAGCGGUGAAAUGCGUAGAUAUCGUAAGGAAGACCAGUGGCGAAGGCGGGUCUCUGGAC